ACACCCACCUGGCAGGGGAGAUUCCAUGAUCAGGAAGGUGGUUUUCCCAGGGCAAGGCUUACCCAGUGCACUUCAGAUAUGCUGACCCUUAUAAUUGUCCCAAAUGUGGGAAACUUGACUGCAUAAUUUGGGGUAGUGGGGGCUGCAUUUGUGCUCUCUCAGA
ensembl:snRNA U1 U1 spliceosomal RNA